rnacentral:lncRNA from 1 species
GAGGAGGAGGAGGAGGAGGAGACGACAAUAUGUCAGACAUAUGACAGAAUGGCUAUAUGACUCCUGGAGAAAGCGGCCUAGCAUUUGUAAAAGCACUCAAUCCAUACAGGAGUCAAACUUACCUCGUUGAUUUCCUUAAGAAGAGGAAUUCUGUCCUCUGCUUUCAAGGCCUUGCUUGAACUUACUGGUGAGGUGCUGACCCGGAAACUGAGGCAGACAGCAGUGGACGGACCACCUGAAUUCUCUCCAUCCAUACUCUUUCAUUGGUUCACCUUCCAGCUGACUGUGUGGGUGUGUAUGUUUGCUGGCUCCCUCUGGAGCAUGAACUCUCUAAGGUCCUGGGUACUGCAAGUUAGUAGUGCUAUGGAGAUACCAGAACAAUCUUUACCAGCCUUCAACUAGUGGCUCGUAUUUAAACCCACCACAUCAGCUAUAGACUGUAAGGAGAAUAACAUCACGUCCAGGGCAUUGAUGAGGCCAGACUUAAAGGCAAUGGUGUAAGACUUUUACAUGUGAGUGCUCUGGAAUUUCAUAAAGGCAAAAGUGGACGUCAAAAAGCCAAUGCUAAUUACAGGAAAGAAUUCUCCAAAAAAAAAAAAAUGUUUGCCAUUGCCUCGAGCAAUAUGAUCUAACAUUCACUGUAUGAACUCUGUCUCAAGAAUUCAAACUUCUCCUCUACAAGAUCCCGAAGCCUCAGAAGAGGAUUUGUGUUUACUUCUUUCUCACUGGAUCUCAAAUGGCUACCAAAUUUAUCUAGUGUAUUACAUCACCAUUGUCUCUCCACCAAGACCAAGGGCCAGAAUUCAGGGG